GCAAAUUCAUUUUAGAGCAACUCUUAUCUAGGAUUUUACCAACCACUAAAUGCUCGUUUCAUCGCCACAGUUGACAAAAGAGCAGCUAGAACUUCUUUCGCAAAUUUUCAUAACACUAAAAAUUUUGAUUCAGUCUACUAUCAAUUUCAGUAGACGUUGCUAAAUAUAAAUCUAACUCCGCAAGAAAAAUCAUUUGUAACUCUUAUUUUUUGCAUUGUUGCAUAAUUUUUUAAUGUCUAAAGUGCCCUUGUGAAAUUAUAUUUUGGGAUUUUUAGUUUUA
rnacentral:misc_RNA from 1 species